rnacentral:rRNA from 1 species
GACGAACGCUGGUGGCGUGCUUAACACAUGCAAGUCGAACGGGAUUUAGUAAACAGAAGCCUCGGUGGAAGAUUACUAAUGAGAGUGGCGAACGGGUGAGUAACGCGUGAGCAACCUGCCUAUGACAGUGGGAUAGUCUCGGGAAACCGGGAUUAAUACCGCAUAAAAUGGUAGAAACACAUGUUUUAACGGUCAAAGAUUUAUCGGACAUAGAUGGGCUCGCGUCUGAUUAGCUAGUUGGUGAGAUAACAGCCCACCAAGGCGACGAUCAGUAGCCGGUCUGAGAGGAUGAACGGCCACAUUGGAACUGAGACACAGUCCAAACUCCUACGGGAGGCAGCAGUGGGGAAUAUUGCACAAUGGGGGAAACCCUGAUGCAGCGACGCCGCGUGAACGAAGAAGGUAUUCGUAUCGUAAAGUUCUGUCCUAUGGGAAGAUAAUGACAGUACCAUAGAAGAAAGCUCCGGCUAAAUACGUG